AAAAACAGUUAAUCCUACCGAAAAAAUAGGUGGGUUAACGCUUAACAGGUUCGAGUGGUGAGUCAAGCGCCAAGGGUUUUGGUCAAACCAAUGGUCAGCACUACAGCGGAGACGAUGGAGUACGAGAACAAGCUUGUACUAGCGCCUAUGGUUCGAGUGGGAACGUUGCCGUUGCGAUUAUUGGCUGCUCAGUAUGGUGCUGAUAUUACCUAUGGGGAGGAGAUUAUUGAUCACAAGCUGCUCAAAUGCGAGAGGAAAAUCAAUGAAAUUGUUGAUUCAACGGAUUUUGUGGAGAAAGGAACAGAUAAUGUUGUUUUCAGAACUUGCAAGGAAGAAAAGGGCCGUGUGGUAUUCCAAAUGGGAACAUCUGACGCUGUGAGGGCGCUUCGGGCAGCAAAGAUAGUGUGUAAUGAUGUUGCAGCAGUUGAUAUCAACAUGGGCUGCCCCAAGUCAUUUUCCCUGAGUGGGGGCAUGGGAGCUGCACUUUUGAGUAAACCAGAGCUUAUUCAUGAUAUUUUGACUACAUUGAAGAGAAACUUGGACAUUCCAGUGACAUGUAAGAUCAGGCUUCUAAAAUCAUCUAAUGACACUGUAGAACUAGCAAGGAGAAUCGAAAAAACUGGUGUUUCUGCCCUUGCUGUCCAUGGGAGAAAAGUUCCAGAUAGGCCAAGAGAUCCAGCUAAGUGGCAUGAGAUUGCUGAUGUAGUUGCAUCAUUAUCUAUUCCAGUCAUAGCAAAUGGUGAUGUCUUUGAAUAUGAUGAUAUUCAGCGCAUUAAAGUUGCAACAGGUGCCUCGUCUGUGAUGGUUGCUAGAGGGGCACUUUGGAAUGCUUCUAUUUUCUCACCUGAAGGCAAACUACCGUGGGAAGAGGUUAAGCGAGAGUAUAUUAGAAAGAGCAUCUUAUGGGAUAACGACAUCAAAAGCACAAAGCACACUCUUAAGGAAAUGAUUAUGCACUAUUCUUGCCUUGAAUUUCCUGAGGGGAAGGCCGUGAUCAAAUCAGAAAACUUGGGGUACCUAGCAUCGGCAAUGCAGAAUGAUUUAAUUCCCUAAUUAUAUAUGAGGCAUGAGAUUUAAUCUCCAAAGGGACUGAAAGGGGGAGCCCUGAUAUUGAAUGAGAGGCGACUCUAUGAGGAGGAAGAAUAUUAUGAGUUCGUGCGUAGGACAAGACGGAUCCUUUAAUUGAUCCCUAAACUUCAACAUGCUUAACACUGAUAUCUUUGUUGCCGAGUUCACCUUUUAAGAAUCCAUCAUUGCCUGUAUUAUGGCUGCUCAGAAAGGAGAAAUUUUGGUUUGGUGAAAUCCCUAUGAUACGGUUAUUUGUUGACUGUAAAUGACCAGAUCACAUUCAAGGUUAGGAAAUGUGGUGGUGGUGGCGGCGGUUAUUGUUGGGGGUGAGAUUUGAAGCGGGGGAAGGCAGGUCUAGCGACAUGGAUGUGUUGUAAGUAUGAACUAUGACAAGGGUUCCUCCGAAAAGGGGCUCAAAAGGACUGGUGGCAAACAGAAAUGUCAGGCAUUUAUUGCAGUAAAAGAAAGCUUUAGAGACAGACGCAACUUUUUUCUUCA